rnacentral:rRNA from 1 species
CGCGGGAUUAGAGUUUGAUCAUGGCUCAGAUUGGACGCUGGCGGCAGGCCUAACACAUGCAAGUCGAGCGGUAACAGGAAUUAGCUUGCUAAUUCGCUGACGAGCGGCGGACGGGUGAGUAAUGCCUGGGAAUAUGCCUUAGUGUGGGGGAUAACUAUUGGAAACGAUAGCUAAUACCGCAUAAUGUCUUCGGACCAAAGAGGGGGACCUUCGGGCCUCUCGCGCUAAGAUUAGCCCAGGUGAGAUUAGCUUGUUGGUGAGGUAAGAGCUCACCAAGGCGACGAUCUCUAGCUGGUCUGAGAGGAUGAUCAGCCACACUGGAACUGAGACACGGUCCAGACUCCUACGGGAGGCAGCAGUGGGGAAUAUUGCACAAUGGGCGCAAGCCUGAUGCAGCCAUGCCGCGUGUAUGAAGAAGGCCUUCGGGUUGUAAAGUACUUUCAGUGGGGAGGAAGGUGUUGUCGUUAAUAGCGGCAGCAUUUGACGUUACCCACAGAAGAAGCACCGGCUAACUCCGUGCCAGCAGCCGCGGUAAUACGGAGGGUGCGAGCGUUAAUCGGAAUUACUGGGCGUAAAGCGCAUGCAGGUGGUUCAUUAAGUCAGAUGUGAAAGCCCGGGGCUCAACCUCGGAACCGCAUUUGAAACUGGUGAACUAGAGUACUGUA